CCCUUAGACGUUCUGGGCCGCACGCGCGCUACACUGACCAGUGCAACAAGCAUCCGUCCUUGGCCGACAGGCCCGGGCAAUCUUUGAACGCUGGUCGUGAUGGGGAUAGACUUUUGCAAUUUUUGGUCUUCAACGAGGAAUUCCUAGUAAACGCAAGUCAUCAACUUGCAUUGAUUACGUCCCUGCCCUUUGUACACACCGCCCGUCGCACCUACUGAUUGAAUGGUCCGGUGAAGCCUCCGGAUUGGCGCGCACCUCGGUGCCGCCGAGAAGUUGGCUAAACCUUACCAUUUAGAGGAAGGUGAAGUCGUAACA
rnacentral:rRNA from 1 species